rnacentral:lncRNA from 1 species
CCUUGCCUGCAUUUCACUGCUCAUUGCUAGUGACUACCUAACAGUGGAAGAUUCUACAGAAUAUAUGAAUUUAUCAAGGAUUUCUUUGUUUCUAGGAGUACUCCAAAUAAUCUAGAUGAACUCCUCUCUCUGCUUGCUCCAGCUGGUCCAGUGGCCAAUUAAUCUUCCUGGUGCAUCAUCAGGUCUGCCAUCUCCAGAACACAUACCUAUUUCGUCAUCCCUACAGCCGUGAUCUGAUGCCUGGAUCUCUGACACUUGGACUCAAUCUCCUUCCUGAAUGAGGUUCAUGCUAUGGCUCUCACUGUGGAGGUCAGAUCCAUGAUCUCCAGGACCACUUACAUGAUCUCCAUUUUGCCUGUAAACCAAUGGUAUUAAAAUAAGCACCCAGGUAUCUGGGUGGCAUGAGCUCACCAAUGAUGAUGCCACGUUAGUACAUGGAUCCCAGCAGGUUUGUAGGAGGAAUAUUUCUUCUGAGCUUCAGUAGCACCUGUUCUUUGUACCAUACAACUGUCAUGGUAGACAGACUCCAGGGGGGAUCCCCAUGAUUCUCACCUCUUGGUGUUCAUGCCCUUGUGUGACUUCCUUCCCCUGAGUAGACUGGGAAUCAUUACUUGCUUCUCAUCAAUGAAAAAUGGCAAAGAUGGUGGAGUGUCACUCUAGUACUAUGUUACUUGGCUUAGGAUUCCUCCUUCCUAGCAGACUCAACUCUAGAAGCUCUACUUGCUGACCUGUUGAAGUGGGAGGAUCUACCUUCUAACCAGUAGGAACAGGGACCCUUAGUCUCCCAGCUAUAAGAAAAUGAAUUCUGCCAACAUCUGAGUAAGACUGGAAGUAGAUUCUUUUCCACUUGAGCUCCCAGAUAAGAACCUGGUUCAGCUGACACCUUGAUGACAGUCUUAUGAGACCCUACACAGAACAUUCUGUUAAGUUAUGCCCAAAUUUUUGACCCCCCCAAAAACUGAGACAAUAAAUAUGGAUUGUUUAAGGUAGUAAACUUAUGGUAGUAUUAAUGGAAAAUGGAUAACUAAUAUAAUUGUAUAUUAAUUACUUAUUCAUGUAUCUCACUUCUUUGGGUGAGCAAAGAUAUUACUCUAUGUUCUCAAUUGUUGGUGCCUGGCUCAUAGUUGGUGCAUAAUAAAACUGUAAAUGGAGGCAUGAGUGAAUUAAUAGCAUAACUUGAUCCUCCAUGUAUGAAAGGAGUCAUCAAUUGCUUUUUUUAUUUUUAUUUUUAGUAUUGGGGAUUGAACCCAGGGAUGUGCUACCAUUGAGCUACUUCCCCAGCCCUUUUAAUUUUUUAUUUAGAGACAGGGUCUCACUGAGUUACUGAGACUGGCCUCAAACUUGCCAUCUUCUUGCCUCAGACUCCCAAAUCACUGGCAUUACAGGUGUGUACCACCAUACCCGCCAUCAAUUGACUUUUAACCAGUAUUGUUUAAGCCUUUGCUGAGUCAAUACUGUACUAGGCACUUAGGGAUUUUUUUAAAAAAAGCCAUGGCCUCAAGGAGGUGCCAUGUUGUACUGCCAAGAGUGAAGACUUGGGUGUCAGAGUUGAGUUUAAGUCCCAGUGCUGAAACCUAAUGCCUCUGUGGCCAUUGACAAGUCACUUAGCCUCUCUGAACAUCAGUACUACCCCCUUUAAAGUGUGGGUAAUGGUACCUGUGGCCUGCAGUGGUUGUAAGAAUUAAACUCCAUUGUGCAUGCUCAGUGUCUGCUGCAGUGUCUCCCACAGUGUAAAACAUCAAGUAUGUUACUUCCACUACUUUUUAAAAAAUUCCACUUCCCCAUCCAGAAGCUACAAGAGAGUGUGUAACUGGGUUAAAUGAAGUGUCGUGGAUGUUAAAUGCUUGGGAAUUGCAAGAGAGAAACAAGUGAAGCUGGAUGAGUCAGGGCAGGUUUCAUGGGGGAGGUGGGGCCUGGACAGGUUGGAGAGAAAGAUGAAAAUAUUCCAGGUCAGGCUAUCACUUGAAUGAAAGUAUAGAGGUAGAAAAAAGCCAUGACACAACUGUAGACACAUGAGGAAACUGACUGCUCAUCUGGAAUGCUCAGGAACUGGGGAGACCAGACCUCAAACAGGUGAGAUGGAUGAGAGCAAGAUGUAGGGGGCCAUCAAAAGCUUUUAAGUUGGGAGUGAAAAGGAAAGUGGUGUUUGCAGUAACUAGUCUGGAUCCUUUGUGCAAGAUGAACUGGGCAGCGAGUUGGGGAUUCUAGAGAGGCCAGAGGAGAAAGAGCCUAGUGUAGAUGUUCAGGAAAACAAGAGUGUAGUAACUUGGCAAGAAGGUGUUGAUCUCAAGAAACCUAAGACCCCACAUCUAAAAGCAAGAUAGCAGCCAAGGAAAGAAGACCCCUGAAGUUGACAGCUAACAAUCCCUGACUCCUCUAAUGGGUUAAUGUCACAGAGAGAACCUGUCCAGAAGUGGAGGAGUGGGAGGAGACUGAAACUAGAGGUCAUUAUGCUGCAGUUGCCUGCCAGGGCCUCUAGACCUCUUCCAAUGGAACCAUAGAUGUUUGGGACAAGGGUGGGUAUCUGGUCAGCAGAUGGUUGGCUGAUUGAGUCUAUGGGUUGCCUGUUGAGAAGAACCUGUCAAAGAGGGACAAUAGUGAUUCACUGAAACCAUCAGGUUCUCCUGGAAAUUCAAAAGGGAUCUUUGAUAAUAGUAUCAUUAGUUGGCAGGGAAACUACUGCAGACAGCAGCCAAGCUGCCAUACAGCAGAUAUUGAGAGCAAGUGUUCAUGACCCUGUUGCUGAGUGACUACAGAAUGGUCUUGUCUCUACACUUCCUUGGACCUGAACCCUCCUUCCUACCAGUUCUUGGGCUUGUAAUUGCAUGAUGACCAUGAACACAAGCCUGGGAACCAAACCACCUGAUUUCCAGUGCUUGAGCAGCUGCUCACUCUCAGCUGAUGUGGGACAAUACUCAGCCUCCACAUCUCAGUUCUCUCUCAUGCAAAAUGGGAUCUUACCAAUAGUACCUACCUCAUAGAGUUGAUGUGAUGAUUAAAUGAGUUAAUAUAUUAAAAUAUUUAUUAUGGCAUUUGGUCAAAGUGAGCUGUGUUUGUUCUUAUUUAUCAGCAUUUUUCAAAUUUCUAGUUCUUCCUAUGGAAACUGGUACUGUUCUCCAAUCCCCUAACCCUUGCAAGAGCUUCUGUGAAGCCUUAAUAAUGGUGGAAAAUCUCAUUUUCCUUAUUUUGAUGUCUAUUCUUAUAAUAAACUUUCCUGUUAUCUGAA